CCUACGGGAGGCAGCAGUAGGGAAUAUUGCUCAAUGGGGGAAACCCUGAUGCAGCGACGCCGCGUGGGUGAAGAAGCGCCUCGGCGCGUAAAGCCCUGUCAGCAGGGAAGAAAAUGACGGUACCUGAAGAAGAAGCCCCGGCUAACUACGUGCCAGCAGCGCCGGUAAUACGUAGGGGGCAGGCGUUAUCCGGAUUUACUGGGUGUAAGGGGGGCGCAGCCGGGGAUGCAAGCCAGGAGUGAAAGCCCGGGGCCCAACCCCGGGACUGCUCUUGGAACUGCGUGGCUAGAGUGCAGGAGGGGCAGGCGGAAUUCCUGGUGUAGCGGUGAAAUGCGUAGAUAUCAGGAGGAACACCGGUGGCGAAGGCGGCCUGCUGGACUGCAACUGACGUUGAGGCCCGAAAGCGUGGGGAGCAAACAGGAUUAGAUACCCGGGUAGUC
rnacentral:rRNA from 1 species